GCCAGUGUGGUGUAGUGGUCUGAAUGUUGGACUAUGACUCUGGAGACUAGGAUUUGAUUCCCAGCUCAGCCA